rnacentral:lncRNA from 1 species
AGCAGUGUCAAACUGCAGUAAUUCUACAGUGUAGAUGCACCUGUCAUGCCCUUCAAUUGGGGUUCUAAAUUUGCAACCCCCUUUCUUCAGAAGUUUUGCCCUCUGGUUAAGAGGAAUACCCAACACAAACUGUCUCUUUAACAAAGAAAAGAUUUAUAUAAAGGUAUUUACAAAUACAGCAGAGUCCUUGGAUUAUUCAGCUGUUUCCACAUGAUGACUUGUAAACAAUAAAGUCCUUAUCUCCAGAUAAUAUGCCACAGUCUUGUUCUUCAGACGUUGCAGCAAUAAUACACCUUCGGCAACUCCAACUUGGAUAAAUCAGCUCCAGCUGCUCCAGCUCAGCAUUCAAACUCUCUCCAACCUCAAGCACCAACCUCCAACCUUGAGUAACAUAAUGUACUUAGUCUCUAUUAGUAGUACUCCAUCUCUAGCAGGUGGCUUGAUUGUUGCUGGCCAUACAGUUAUUGGUCAUGAUCCUUACAAUCACUUACCCAUUUUCACUUAAAAAAUGAUAUAAAACUCUGGCAGCACCCUAGAUUCUGAGGACAUUCUUAUGGAGCUACAAAUAAAUGCCUACUUCCAAGAGUUUUACAUUACAAAUUUUGCAUCUUCAAUAGGAUGUAAAGAAGACUUAAUCAGUGAAACAAGAGUAUAAAAAUUUGAAGGUGUCAGAAAGAUCAAUCCAUUUUUUCCAGACCAAAACUGUCAAGAAGCCCCCGCACAAAGGAAACACUCAGAUCAAAGGCUAAAGCUUUGCCAUCUUGAAAUUACAAUAUGACAAGAGUUUCAUCUAGAGGCAUUGUUUAGACAACUCCAAUAAAAGCGCAAGUGCUCUCACAUUUUGGACCCUGUCUGUAUGGGCCCUAGCAUCCUCAGAAAGAGAAACAAGUCCAGUGGUGGUGAGCCUUUUAGAAAGCGAGAGCCCAAACCACAAUCCAAAACCAGUUAUGAGACCCAAGGAGUAAUUCAAGCUCCACUGACAACAAAACAUAUAAGACACAUUACUGGAGAAAAUAAGGUGACAAUUGUGUUGAUAUCAGCUUC